ACUAAUGUCACUCAAGGACUGGUCACUUUGAGUCUGGAGCUCUUCAACACAUCUGCCAACUGCUCAAUAUGCACAUUUGACCUCACAAUGAACAUGUCAACUAUUGAUGCUGAUACAUGGAGGGACCAAUUUGUUGAUGAGAUGGUUGAAGCCGGUUCAAACUGGCUCUGGCUGAUUGCAGUGAUGGCAGGGGUCACACUUUUUGUGACCAUAGGUCUGACCGUGGUCUACUGCUG